UUGUAUGAGCCCUGCAGUUUCAGGUUGUCACAGCUUGUCUGUCUUGUCUUGUGUUGUGCAGGAGGGAAGGCAGGCACACACAAUGUUCUUGCAAAGCAAGCAAGCAAGCAAGGCCACCCAGACCCCCCUCACAAAAUCAGCAUGUUUCCCAUUUCUCUCUUUGGUGGAGCCUCAUGGUGGCCUUGUGAGGGUCACCACCAACACCCAGACAAGACAACCCCUGGCUCUGCUCUCUCUCUCCCCCUCCCUCUCUCUCUCUCUCUCACAUACAUAGCCCACAUUUACAUGAGAAAAACACUCCAAGUCAAACCCUAAGUAGUGUUAAAUUAAUUGUAAGUUAAGAGGACCAUCACUGAUUCCAACAUGGGACAGACAGAAACCCUAAAAAAAUCUAAGAGCCAUUCUUACAACUUGCAGCCCCCACACCCAGUUUCAAGGUCAAAUCUGCAACCUCCAUGCUUGAGUGUAGUGAGGAAGAGGAGGAGGAAGAAGACCAUUCCUACUUGGAAAUUUGUGUGGGUGGGUUUUUUUUUUUUUUUUUAAUUUUUAAUUUUUUUUUCUUGAUUUGCUUGAUGUGCUGUAUGCUAGUAAUCUUUCAAGGCUUGGAGCCACCCACUAAAACAUGUUGCUUCUUUCAUUUCCAAGUACUGCAUGCACUGGCAUGUUCUCCCCCAAAGCAUGUGAAAUGUUCUAAAGGAAGAUGGUCUUUGCUUGUAAAGUGUGAAGUGUACUGCAUCCUUGGACACUAAAACUGUGGCAUCACUGGUCUUUCAAUUUAGUUUUAAGAAAGAUGUCUCUUCUUCAUUACAUCUCCACACUGUCAUUAUACUUGGCUAAAGUGUACCUGGGUGGUGUCGAGCAUAAAGUCCAUGUUUGUGAGAGUGCCACUCAGUUUUUUAAUGUUUACUAAACUAUGACAUAGUUGACAUAAUGUCACAGUUUAGUAAUAGUAAUAAUGUAUCAGUCAGAAUGUAUAUAUAUUUAUAUUUAUUCAACUAAUUAAAAGUGGGCUCAUUUUAAUAUGGACAACUAAGAAUGUUCCAUCUUUUACAGUCAGUUCAAGAAGAAGUUGAACAGAGCAAACAUUGUGGUGAUUGGGCACUUAUGAACUGCUAAAAGUUUGUGAAGUUGGUUAUACCUCUAAAUCCAGUUUAAUUGUUUAGUGCUAACAACAAUAGUCCAAGGAGAAACAUGGAAGAAUCAACUUAAAUAUCAAUAAAUGAAAAAAUCCAGUAUCUUGCUAAUUGUGUGCAAUUUUCUCUUUGAAUGAAAUUUAAUGUACAUAUAUAUAUAUAUAUAUAUAUAUAUAUAUAUAUAAAAAUAAAAACUCCCUAACCUGUUAAGCUCCAAACCACUAGCUCAGACAAUCCACUCAGUUACCUCACAACUAAAACCAAGUUCUUUUGAACAUUGAAUCAGGGCAAUCUUCUGACAAUAAACAAGAUCAACACUUC
rnacentral:lncRNA from 1 species